rnacentral:rRNA from 1 species
GUGGGGAAUAUUGCGCAAUGGGCGGAAGCCUGACGCAGCGACGCCGCGUGGGGGAUGAAGGCCUUCGGGUUGUAAACCUCUUUCAGCAGGGACGAAGCUAACGUGACGGUACCUGCAGAAGAAGCACCGGCCAACUACGUGCCAGCAGCCGCGGUAAUACGUAGGGUGCGAGCGUUGUCCGGAAUUAUUGGGCGUAAAGAGCUCGUAGGCGGCUUGUCGCGUCGACUGUGAAAAUCCGCGGCUCAACUGCGGACCUGCAGUCGAUACGGGCAGGCUUGAGUUCGGUAGGGGAGACUGGAAUUCCUGGUGUAGCGGUGAAAUGCGCAGAUAUCAGGAGGAACACCGGUGGCGAAGGCGGGUCUCUGGGCCGAUACUGACGCUGAGGAGCGAAAGCGUGGGGAGCGAACAGG